UUGCUCAGUAACACGUGGACAACCUGCCCUGAGGACUGGAAUAAUCCCGGGAAACUGGGGGUAAUUCCAGAUAUGUCAGAACUCCUGGAAUGGGUUCUGGCAGAAAGGCUCCGGCGCCUCAGGAUGGGUCUGCGGCCUAUCAGGGUAGUAGUGGGUGUAACGUACCUACUAGCCUACGACGGGUACGGGUUGUGAGAGCAAGAGCCCGGAGAUGGAUUCUGAGACAUGAAUCCAGGCCCUACGGGGUGCAGCAGGCGCGAAAACUUUACAAUGCGGGCAACCGCGAUAAGGGGACCUCGAGUGCUGGGUUACAAACCUGGCUGUUGGGCUGCCUAAAAAGCAGUCUAUAGCAAGGGCCGGGCAAGACCGGUGCCAGCCGCCGCGGUAACACCGGCGGCUCGAGUGGUAACCGCUGUUAUUGGGUCUAAAGGGUCUGUAGCCUGCCGGCUAAGUCUCUUGGGAAAUCUGGCAUCUCAAGUGUCAGGCUGCCAGGGGAUACUGGUCAGCUUGGGACCGGGAGAGGUGAGAGGUACCUCAGGGGUAGGGGUGAAAUCUUGUAAUCCUUGAGGGACCACCAGUGGCGAAGGCGUCUCACCAGAACGGAUCCGACGGCAAGGGACGAAAGCUAGGGGCACGAACCGGAUUAGAUACCCGGGUAGU
rnacentral:rRNA from 1 species